UACAGAGGUCUCAAGCGUUGUUCGGAAUUACUGGGCGUAAAGGGUGCGCAGGCCGCGCGGGCAGUCAAAUGUGUAAUCCAGGGGCUCAACCCCUGAACUGCGCUUGAUACUUCCGCGCUAGAACUUUGGAGAGGAGUCUGGAAUUCUCGGUGUAGCAGUGAAAUGCGUGGAUAUCGAGAAGAACACUUAGGGCGUAGGCAAGACUCUGGACAAAUGUUGACGCUCAAGCACGAAGGCUAGGGUAGCGAACGGG
rnacentral:rRNA from 1 species